rnacentral:rRNA from 1 species
AUUAGUUAAGAUCUUGAAAUCCAAAGAAUUUGGCGGUAUCUUAUUCCAUUCAGAGGAGCCUGUCUCGUAAUUGAUAAUACACGAUUAAUUUUACUUGAUUUAUUUGUUUGUAUAUCUCCGUUAUCAGAAGAUCUUUUUAGAGUUAUAAUUUUCUGAAUCUAUAAUUAUAAAUUAUUUCAGGUCAAGGUGCAGCUUAUAAUCAAGGGAAGAUGGGUUACAAUAAAUUUUUGUUUAUUAUGGAUUUAAUAUUGAAAUCUGUUAAUGAAGGUGGAUUUGAUAGUAAUUUAAUUUAUUUAAUUUAAUUGAUAUUGGCUCUUAGGUGUGUACACAU